GUUCCCGACCUGCGGGCUUCUGACAGACGACACAGUCGCCAUGCUUCGGUCGGCGGAGGAACAUCGAACCAUCUCGAUCCUAGUAAGUAUUUUUUCAAAAACAAUUUUUUAUUCGUGAGUCGUAGCGGAAACACAUUAUACUAUUAUACACGUUCGGUAAUAGACGUAAAUAAUGUCUGAACAUACAAACGGCAUCAGCUCAG